rnacentral:rRNA from 1 species
AUUGAACGCUGGCGGCAGGCUUAACACAUGCAAGUCGAGCGGGGUGAUGGUGCUUGCACUAUCACUUAGCGGCGGACGGGUGAGUAAUGCUUAGGAAUCUGCCUAUUAGUGGGGGACAACAUCUCGAAAGGGAUGCUAAUACCGCAUACGUCCUACGGGAGAAAGCAGGGGAUCACUUGUGACCUUGCGCUAAUAGAUGAGCCUAAGUCGGAUUAGCUAGUUGGUGGGGUAAAGGCCUAACAAGGCGACGAUCUGUAGCGGGUCUGAGAGGAGGAUCCCGCACACUGGGACGGGGACACGCCCCAGACUACGGGGACGGGCAGCAGUGGGGAAUAUUGGCGAAUGGGGGGAGCCCUGAUCCAGCCAUGCCGCGUGUGUGAAGAAGGCCUUAUGGUUGUAAAGCACUUUAAGCGAGGAGGAGGCUCUUUUGGUUAAUACCCAAGAUGAGUGGACGUUACUCGAAGAAUAAGCACCGGCUAACUCUGUGCCAGCAGCCGCCGUAA